rnacentral:lncRNA from 13 species
UCUUAGUCUUGGAACCCCGAGGGAGUCACCCGGCAAGGUCUGAAAAGUUCCGUGCCGGGAGACUUUCUAAUUCCUGUGGAGUGAGGCCCACCAUUGGAUAAGACUUCCCACGUGAUUCCAAAGUUAUAGUGAAGAGUUGAAAAUCAAAGACCCAUGGUAUAACAUAAUGAUUACCGACAGGCUUGACAUCAAACAAACCUGCAUCUGAAUCUUGGUUCUAUCACUUCCUGACUGCAUAAUUUUGUGCUCUCCCAGGAUGAGGUCUGCUGCACAGGAAGACCAAAGCUUUGUACUUGUGCCUGUUUGAAUUCUAGCAUUUGAGGAU